GAUGAACGCUGGCGGCGUGCCUAAUACAUGCAAGUCGAGCGAACGGACGAGAAGCUUGCUUCUCUGAUGUUAGCGGCGGACGGGUGAGUAACACGUGGAUAACCUACCUAUAAGACCGGGAUAACUUCGGGAAACUGGAGCUAAUACCGGAUAAUAUUUUGAACCGCAUGGUUCAAAAGUGAAAGACGGUCUUGCUGUCACUUAUAGAUGGAUCCGCGCUGCAUUAGCUAGUUGGUAAGGUAACGGCUUACCAAGGCAACGAUGCAUAGCCGACCUGAGAGGGUGAUCGGCCACACUGGAACUGAGACACGGUCCAGACUCCUACGGGAGGCAGCAGUAGGGAAUCUUCCGCAAUGGGCGAAAGCCUGACGGAGCAACGCCGCGUGAGUGAUGAAGGUCUUCGGAUCGUAAAACUCUGUUAUUAGGGAAGAACAUAUGUGUAAGUAACUGUGCACAUCUUGACGGUACCUAAUCAGAAAGCCACGGCUAACUACGUG
rnacentral:rRNA from 1 species